rnacentral:rRNA from 1 species
GACGAACGCUGGCGGCGUGCCUAAUACAUGCAAGUAGAACGCAGUUGCGAACGGGUGAGUAACGCGUAGGUAACUGCCUGGUAGCGGGGGAUAACUAUUGGAAACGAUAGCUAAUACCGCAUACUACCAGAUGGACCUGCGUUGUAUUAGCUAGUUGGUGAGGUAACGGCUCACCAAGGCAACUAUACAUAGCCUACUUGAAAGGAUGUAUGGCCGCACGGCGACGGAUACAGCGCCCAGACUCCUACGGGAGGCAGCAGAAGGGAAGAUUCGGCAAUGGGGGGAACCCUGACCGAGCACCGCCGCGUGAGUGAAGAAGGUUUUCGAAGCGUAGCGCUCUGUUGUUAAGGAGGCGGUACUUAACCAGAAAGGGACGGCUAACUACGUGCCAGCAGCCGCGGUAAUAC